rnacentral:rRNA from 1 species
UGCCAGACUCCUACGGGAGGCAGCAGUGAGGAAUAUUGGUCAAUGGGCGGAAGCCUGAACCAGCCAAGUCGCGUGAGGGAAGAAGGCCCUGCGGGUCGCAGACCUCUUUGGACGGGGAGCAAGGCCGCCGACGUGUCGGCGGAAGGAGAGUACCCGUAGAACAAGCAUCGGCUAACUCCGUGCCAGCAGCCGCGGUAAUACGGAGGAUCCGAGCGUUAUCCGGAUUUAUUGGGUUUAAAGGGAGCGUAGAUGGGUUGUUAAGUCAGUUGUGAAAGUUUGCGGCUCAACCGUAAAAUUGCAAUUGAUACUGGCAGCCUUGAGUACAGUUGAGGUAGGCGGAAUUCGUGGUGUAGCGGUGAAAUGCAUAGAUAUCACGCAGAACCCCGAUUGCGAAGGCAGCGUACCGGCGCCCGACUGACGCUGAAGCACGAAAGCGUGGGUAUCGAACAGGAUUAGAUACCCCUGUA